UGAGGAAUAUUGGACAAUGGGCGCAAGCCUGAUCCAGCCAUGCCGCGUGCAGGAAGAAGCAUCUAUGGUGUGUAAACUGCUUUUGUACGGGAAGAAACACUCCUUCGUGAAGGAGCUUGACGGUACCGUAAGAAUAAGGAUCGGCUAACUCCGUGCCAGCAGCCGCGGUAAUACGGAGGAUCCGAGCGUUAUCCGGAAUCAUUGGGUUUAAAGGGACCGUAGGCGGUUUAGUAAGUCAGUGGUGGAAGCCCAUCGCUCAACGAUGGAACGGCCAUUGGUACUGAUAGACUUGAAUUAGUAGAAAGUAACUAGAAUAUGUAGUGUAGCGGUGAAAUGCUUAGAUAUGACAUGGAAUACCAAUUGCGAAGGCAGGUUACUACUAAUGGAUUGACGCUGAUGGACGAAAGCGUGGGGAGCGAACA
rnacentral:rRNA from 1 species